rnacentral:misc_RNA from 1 species
UUUCUCUUCAAAUUGAGCUUUUUCUCCAUUAAAAUUCUCUCUGCAAAUUUAUAGUUUUUCUUUUUUCACUUUUUGAGAAGAAAUCAAAAGCUAUGUGUGGUGGUGCAAUUAUCUCCGAUUUGGUACCUCCUAGCCGGAUUUCUCGCCGGUUAACCGCUGAUUUUCUAUGGGGUACAUCCGAUCUGAACAAGAAGAAGAAGAACCCUAGUAAUUACCACUCAAAGCCCUUGAGGUCUAAGUUUAUUGACCUUGAAGAUGAAUUUGAAGCUGACUUUCAGCACUUCAAGGAUAAUUCUGAUGAUGAUGAUGAUGUGAAGGCAUUUGGCCCCAAAUCCGUGAGAUCUGGUGAUUCAAACUGCGAAGCUGACAGAUCCUCCAAGAGAAAGAGGAAGAAUCAGUACCGGGGGAUCAGACAGCGUCCUUGGGGUAAGUGGGCAGCUGAAAUACGUGAUCCAAGGAAAGGUAUUCGAGUCUGGCUUGGUACUUUCAAUUCAGCCGAAGAGGCAGCCAGAGCUUAUGAUGCUGAGGCGCGAAGGAUCAGAGGCAAGAAAGCUAAGGUGAACUUUCCUGAUGAAGCUCCAGUGUCUGUUUCAAGACGUGCUAUUAAGCAAAAUCCCCAAAAGGCACUUCGUGAGGAAACCCUGAACACAGUUCAGCCCAACAUGACUUAUAUUAGUAACUUGGAUGGUGGAUCUGAUGAUUCGUUCAGUUUUUUCGAAGAGAAACCAGCAACCAAGCAGUACGGCUUCGAGAAUGUGUCUUUUACUGCUGUAGAUAUGGGACUGGGCUCAGUUUCCCCUUCAGCUGGUACAAAUGUUUACUUCAGCUCUGAUGAAGCAAGUAACACUUUUGACUGCUCUGAUUUCGGUUGGGCUGAACCGUGUGCAAGGACUCCAGAGAUCUCAUCUGUUCUGUCGGAAGUUCUGGAAACCAAUGAGACUCAUUUUGAUGAUGAUUCCAGACCAGAGAAAAAACUGAAGUCCUGUUCCAGCACUUCAUUGACAGUUGACGGUAACACUGUGAACACGCUAUCUGAAGAGCUAUCGGCUUUUGAAUCCCAGAUGAAGUUCUUGCAGAUCCCAUAUCUCGAGGGAAAUUGGGAUGCAUCGGUUGAUGCCUUCCUCAAUACAAGUGCAAUUCAGGAUGGUGGAAACGCCAUGGACCUUUGGUCCUUCGAUGAUGUACCUUCUUUAAUGGGAGGUGCCUACUAAGCUGCAUACACAUCUUCCCUUGCUAAGUUUUGUAAAUAACGCUUCAUUUGAGUGAAGUUUGCGCCUGCGUUUACGUUUAUCACCAAACUAAAAGACUAUAUAUGUGUUGUAUUAAUUUAUUCAAAAUUUACUCGUUUGAUAUAUGUAAGUAUGUAUCCUUGUUUUCAUAAGUCAAUGUCUUAUUUUCUUACAGUCACAAAGCAUAUGCCUUUCGCCUCUGUUAUGCGUUGGCGAAGGUAAAACUAACAGAUUUUGAAUUUUGCAUUUUACUGA